GUCUUUGGUCAUGCCAUCCUGAAUAUUCCUGAUCUAUGUGGUAUGAUCUCAGAAGCUAAUCUUGGUUGUCAAAGGUCAAUAUUUGGAUGGGAAGCCAUUUGGGAAUAUCAGGUACCAUAGGUU
rnacentral:rRNA from 1 species